UGAGGAAUAUUGGUCAAUGGGCGAGAGCCUGAACCAGCCAAGUCGCGUGAAGGAUGAAGGUUCUAUGGAUUGUAAACUUCUUUUGUCCGAGGGUAAAGGAGUCCACGUGUGGAUUUUUGCAAGUAUCGGACGAAUAAGCAUCGGCUAACUCCGUGCCAGCAGCCGCGGUAAUACGGAGGAUGCGAGCGUUAUCCGGAUUUAUUGGGUUUAAAGGGUGCGUAGGUGGUUUGUUAAGUUUGUGGUGAAAGCGUGCGGCUCAACCGUACCAAGCCAUGAAAACUGGCGAACUUGAGUGCAAACGAGGUAGGCGGAAUGUGAUGUGUAGCGGUGAAAUGCUUAGAUAUGUCACAGAACCCCGAUUGCGAAGGCAGCUUACCAGCAUGCAACUGACACUGAGGCACGAAAGCGUGGGUAUCAAACAGG
rnacentral:rRNA from 2 species